ACAGCUUAAACUAGUGGACGGAUCAGGCUGAAAUUCGGCAUGCAGAUAGCUAUUAUGACGUAGGCAUCUGCUAAGAAAGGAUUUUUGAAAAUUCAACCCUUAAGAGGCUAAAAUAGGGGUUCGAAAGUUGCGGAGUCCACGCAGAUGAAGACGCGGGCAUAAGCUA